CAAACGGAGAGAGAAAUACCUUCCAUUUGGAAGAAAUGAGCCCUUCAUUUCAGUCCUACCAGCAAGUCAGCAGUACAUGGGGCAUUCUGGCCGCAUCAGGACGCAUUUGACAAUGUCUGGUCCAAUUCUUGUCCAGAAACCACUGAUGGCUGUACCAGUAAGGCUGCUGCAUUCUUCCCAUGUCCCUCCAGCCUGAGUCUCCUCUUCAGUGAUUGUAACCUCGGAUGCCAUCUUGACUGCAACAACCAGCCAGAACCACCCAGCUAGGCCAUUCCCAGAUCCCUGGCCCAGAGAAUCUGUGUGAGAUAAUGGUGAGUGUUGCAAGCCGGUGAGUUUGGGGUUAAUUUGUUACACAGCAAUAGAUAACUACUGUAUUAGGUAACCUUCAACUUCUUGGCUUUUACCUUGAAGCCCCUCCAUAAAUAAAG
rnacentral:lncRNA from 1 species